rnacentral:rRNA from 1 species
AUUGAACGCUGGCGGCAUGCCUUACACAUGCAAGUCGAACGGCAGCACGGGGGCAACCCUGGUGGCGAGUGGCGAACGGGUGAGUAAUGCAUCGGAACGUGUCCUCUUGUGGGGGAUAACCAGUCGAAAGAUUGGCUAAUACCGCAUGAGAUCGAGAGAUGAAAGCGGGGGACCCGAGGGUAACUUCGGGCCUCGCGCGAGAGGAGCGGCCGAUGCCGGAUUAGCAGGUUGGUGGGGUAAGAGCCUACCAAGGCGACGAUCCGUAGCUGGUCUGAGAGGACGACCAGCCACACUGGGACUGAGACACGGCCCAGACUCCUACGGGAGGCAGCAGGUGGGAAGUUUUGGACAAUGGGCGCAAGCCUGAUCCAGCCAUGCCGCGUGUG